rnacentral:rRNA from 1 species
CAGUCGCCGCGGUAAAACGGAGGGGGCUAGCGUUGUUCGGAAUUACUGGGCGUAAAGCGCACGUAGGCGGCUUGGUAAGUUAGAGGUGAAAGCCCGGAGCUCAACUCCGGAAUUGCCUUUAAGACUGCCGAGCUAGCAGGUGAGAGAGGUAAGUGGAAUUCCGAGUGUAGAGGUGAAAUUCGUAGAUAUUCGGAAGAACACCAGUGGCGAAGGCGGCUUACUGGCUCAUACUGGACGCUGAGGUGCGAAAGCGUGGGGAGCAAACAGGAUUAGAUACCCCUGUAGUCCCUGUCUCUUAUAC